rnacentral:rRNA from 1 species
CCUAUGUGAGGCAGCAGUGGGGAAUAUUGCACAAUGGGGGAAACCCUGAUGCAGCGACGCCGCGUGAGUGAAGAAGCGCCUCGGCGCGUAAAGCUCUGUCAGCAGGAACGACGCUGACGGUACCUGAAGAAGAAGCCCCUGCUUACUACGUGCCCUCAGCCGCGGUAAUACGUAGGGGGCAAGCUUUAUCCGGAUUUACUGGGUGUAAAGGGAGCGGUGACGGCGGGGCAAGUCUGGAGUGAAAGGCCGGGGCCGAACCCCGGGACCGCUCUGGAAACUACCCGGCUGGAGUGCGGGAGAGGUAAGCGGAAUUCCUAGUGUAGCGGUGAAAUGCGUAGAUAUUAGGAGGAACACCAGCGGCGAAGGCGGCUUACUGGACCGUGACUGACGUUGAGGCUCGAAAGCGUGGGGAGCAAACAGGAUUAGAUACCCCAGUAGUC